UCCUUACUUCAACUUUGACCGAAAAUGUAGACCUGGAUGGGCCUGUCCCUGUAAUCUCUUAUUCUACAGAUGAGGAAACUGAGGCAGAAGGAAGUUCAGAGGCUUGCCCACGAAGCCAUUCCUGACAUCCUAUGUUGGUCCCCUCAGAUGUCAGAUGGCAUUUUAUUUACUCCUCUCCAAGGCACUUAGCAUGUAAUCAGUCCCAUCCACUAGUAUUGUAUGUGUUUGUGCAGUAUCCACUUAUUAGAUUAAGCUCCUUGAAGGUAAGAACUGUACCUGAAUCAAAUAACUGUAUCUCUCAGCACUAAGCAAUAGGAUCCUGCACAUAGUAGGCACUUUAUAAAUGAAUGAAAAAGCAUUUAUAAAAUACUCACUAUGUACUGCAUACUAUGCCAAGGGUUAGGGAUGCAAAAAGAAAAAGAAAGACAGUCCCUCUUGUUAAGGAACUCACAUCAACAUUUAGCUCACUGCCCCGAAUAUAUUAGGCAUUCAAUCCUUGACUUGAUACUCUUAACUGGGUUACACUACAUGUAAAGGAAACUUCAGCUACAGGGCAAAUAGAAAGGCUCGAAAGUCUUAAGGCAAGGCCUGGGAAUCCUGAGAUUCCAUCAGCAGGCCAGAUGACAGCUCCAGGAUAGUGGAUAGUCAGCCCUGGGGAUCUGCCGUUAUUCUCCCCAGAAGAAAUGGUCAUUCAGACCAUGGGAGCAGUCAAGAAGCACAAUGGACUCCAGGGGAAGGAGAUGGAGGAGGAAGAAAAAGAGAAAGAAUAUCUUCCCUGGUGGGACAUGUUCCUGACACCGAACCCUCCUCAGUGAAUAUUAAAUGAAUGAAUGAGUCAGUGGAUGGAUGGAUAAAGAAAUGAAUAAAUGAGAAAUAAAUAAAAUCAGCAAUUAACUGAGUUAUGCAUUGUCUUCUCUUGGGACAGUAAAACCGAUUUUAUGCUACGAGUGCUCACAGUCUGGAACCUUCAAAUGUGAUGACACCAAAGUGUGUAACAGCACUUCUGGCUUCUGCCAUCUGCUCACCUACGAAGGACAAGAUGACGAAACAUAUAUUAAAAAAUCCUGUGCAACUGACUGUGGGUUCCCUUCAGUGAUCUUCACUGGUACAAAGAAUUAUUUUGCUUUGUGCUGUAGUUUCCAACUUUGCAAUACUUUACAGUACUCCCGAGAGGUAAUAGAAAAUCAUACCAACAUCCCAAUAUCAGACUUCACAGCUAGUCUCUUCUGGGCUUGCUUCAUGAUUAUACUGCAAUUUAUUGGCCUGGGAGAUUGAAACUAUCCCCUCCCACCUCCUGCCCCCAAAAUUUGAUCACAUUCCUUCAGUAAGAAUAGAAUCUCUUUCCUGUCUGGCUUUGUAAUUGGUCUCUCAAAAUCCCAUGGUUAAAUAUGGUGAUAUUUGAUAAAUAUGGUAAAAAUUAUUGUAUGGGAGGCUCUUCCUAUAAUUCAGCAUUUCUUAAUGGCUGGACUUUGGAAGUGAUUCCUUGAGAAAACUUUUUAAAAAGGGGACUAGGUUCUCACCCAGCUUCAACAAAGACUGACACUAUAUGAUACUGGGCAAAAUCACCAGCCUUUAGCUCUUCCAUCUGAGAAAUAGGGAAAGCAGGGCCUUCUCAUGCUUGGGGAACUUCUGGGACACUUCAAAAUGAAAUCAGAGAAUCAAUUCUGCUAAGAUCUCAUCCAUUAGGAACAUAUUUUCUGGGAACUUUAGGUCACAGGCUAAUCCUUUUGAGACCUUGAAGUUUAAUAAUAAUCACAGACAUUUUUCUAGUCCUUUCUUCGCAAUAGCCUUGAAAGGGCAGAGAGUGCAAUGUGCAUAAAUCCUGUUGUUUUUUUUGGUGGUGGUGGGGGGGGAAGAAACUGAGACUUAGAGGAAUAAAAUGACUUUCCAGAAAGCUGGAAUUCCAUCCUGGGUCCCUAACCAUCAAUUUCAAUGUUUUGCCUCUAUAUCCCCUGCCAGUCAACCCAUCCUUUGUAAUGUGUUUAUGUGUUUCAUUUGUUGUUGUUUUUUUUAUCUUCUUUGAACUUUUGUUUUCUGGGGAAAGUGCUGGUGAAAAGUCUUGGACAGACACUGAUUAAAUUUUUCUUUACCACUGUG